rnacentral:rRNA from 1 species
GAUGAACGCUGGCGGCGUGCCUAAUACAUGCAAGUCGAGCGAACAGACGAGGCGCUUGCUCCUCUGACGUUAGCGGCGGACGGGUGAGUAACACGUGGAUAACCUACCUAUAAGACUGGGAUAACUUCGGGAAACCGGAGCUAAUACCGGAUAAUAUAUUGAACCGCAUGGUUCAAUAGAGAAAGACGGUUUUGCUGUCACUUAUAGAUGGAUCCGCGCCGCAUUAGCUAGUUGGUAAGGUAACGGCUUACCAAGGCAACGAGGCGUAGCCGACCUGAGAGGGGGAUCGGCCACAUGGGAACUGAGACACGGUCCAGGCUCCUACGGGAGGCAGCAGUAGGGAAUCUUCCGCAAUGGGCGAAAGCCUGACGGAGCAACGCCGCGUGAGUGAUGAAGGUCUUCGGAUCGUAAAACUCUGUUAUUAGGGAAGAACAAAUGUGUAAGUAACUAUGCACGUCUUGACGGUACCUAAUCAGAAAGCCACGGCUAACUACGUG